rnacentral:lncRNA from 1 species
GGCCUCCCGCACCGAAGGGACCCUGGGCGUCUGAGGCCCUGAUCCGGGCGGGCCUUCAGGAUGUUAGCAGUCCCUGUCCGGUUGAAGGCCUGCGGGGCGGGGGCGGGGUGGCGCCCAGGACGACUCCCCGGGCUCAGCUUGGCUGCCUGCCUCCUUCUGUAAGUGCUUUUUUUUUCUUCACCUGGGACCCUCUAGAGGUUGGAAAGAGAAGAGAGGCUGGGAGCGGAUGGAAAGCAUGACUGCAUCUGGAGCCCCUGGGGGGAGUGGGGAAGAGGGAGUGGAAGGACAGUGGCUGAGGGGCUUCCUGUUGCAGCCUUCAGCUGGACUCAGGGUUGGGGUCACUGGAGGAGGAGGUGGCUUCCUGCCCCAUUGUUCUGGACUGCAGUGUUUCUUGGGAAUACUUACUGUAUGUGGAUUUUCAGUAACCAACUUGGAAAGCUGUAUUUGUUCCCAUGAUUCAG